rnacentral:rRNA from 1 species
AGAGUUUGAUCCUGGCUCAGAUUGAACGCUGGCGGAAUGCUUUACACAUGCAAGUCGAGCGGCAGCGCGGGGGCAACCCUGGCGGCGAGCGGCGAACGGGUGAGUAAUAUAUCGGAACGUGCCCAAUAGUGGGGGAUAGCCCGGCGAAAGCCGGAUUAAUACCGCAUACGACCUGAGGGUGAAAGCGGGGGAUCGCAAGACCUCGCGCUAUUGGAGCGGCCGAUAUCAGAUUAGGUAGUUGGUGAGGUAAAGGCUCACCAAGCCGACGAUCUGUAGCUGGUCUGAGAGGACGACCAGCCACACUGGGACUGAGACACGGCCCAGACUCCUACGGGAGGCAGCAGUGGGGAAUAUUGCACAAUGGGCGCAAGCCUGAUGCAGCGACGCCGCGUGGGGGAUGACGGCCUUCGGGUUGUAAACCUCUUUCAGUAGGGACGAAGCGCAAGUGACGGUACCUACAGAAGAAGCACCGGCCAACUACGUGCCAGCAGCCGCGGUAA